CUGUUAAGGUUUAGGAUUGUUUUCCCACAAAUAAGGGGUUUAAUUUCAUUUACAACGAAGCCACCGUUAAAGCGCCUUCUGAAGUGAUUCCGACAUCGUUGUCCUGUUGAAUAACGUGGAAGUGUUUAUUACAUUUUGCCGUUUUCAGUGAAACGUUGAACACAGACGGUGCUGCAGCCGCUGACAACAACGACACAACACAAGACUCAGACGAACAAUCGGAUGACAAUGAAGAAGAGUCGUACCCAGCUCUCGGAGAUGCUCUAACACAGCUUGGUUUACCUGAAUACGUGGGGCUGUUCGAAUCUGAAGAAAUGGACAUGGAGACGUUUCUGCUGUGUGGCGAGGAGGACAUGAAAGAGAUGGGAAUUCCCAUGGGACCGAGAAAGAAAUUAAUGGGAUACCUGAGAAAUCAGAAACAAAACAUGG